GAUGAACGCUGGCGGCGUGCCUAAUACAUGCAAGUCGAGCGAACUGAUUAGAAGCUUGCUUCUAUGACGUUAGCGGCGGACGGGUGAGUAACACGUGGGCAACCUGCCUGUAAGACUGGGAUAACUUCGGGAAACCGAAGCUAAUACCGGAUAGGAUCUUCUCCUUCAUGGGAGAUGAUUGAAAGAUGGUUUCGGCUACCACUUACAGAUGGGCCCGCGGUGCAUUAGCUAGUUGGUGAGGUAACGGCUCACCAAGGCAACGAUGCAUAGCCGACCUGAGAGGGUGAUCGGCCACACUGGGACUGAGACACGGCCCAGACUCCUACGGGAGGCAGCAGUAGGGAAUCUUCCGCAAUGGACGAAAGUCUGACGGAGCAACGCCGCGUGAGUGAUGAAGGCUUUCGGGUCGUAAAACUCUGUUGUUAGGGAAGAACGAGUACAAGAGUAACUGCUUGUACCUUGACGGUACCUAACCAGAAAGCCACGGCUAACUACGUGCCAGCAGCCGCAGUAA
rnacentral:rRNA from 1 species